rnacentral:rRNA from 1 species
AUUACGUCCCUGCCCUUUGUACACACCGCCCGUCGCUACUACCGAUUGAAUGGUCUAGCGAGACCUUCGGAUUGGCCCCGUUUCGGCUCGCAAGGGCCGAGGUGGAUAGCCGAGAAGUCGCUCUAGUUCGAUCAUUUAGAGGAAGUAAAAGUCGUAACAAGGUUUCCGUAGGUGAACCUGCGGAAGGAUCAUUAC